rnacentral:lncRNA from 1 species
CAUAGAGGGAUACCUUCCGAGAACCAGACCAUAGAGGGAUACCUACAGAGAACCAGACCAUAGAAGUUGAUACCAACAGAGAACCAGACCAUAGGGGAUACCAACAGAGAACCAGGACCAUAGAGGGAUACCAACAGAGAAACCCGACCAUAGAGGAUACCUACAGAGAACCCAGACCAUAGAGGGAUCCAACAGAGAACCAGACCCUAGAGGGAUACCAACAGAGAACCAAGGACCAUCGAGGGAUACCUACAGAUGACCAGACCAUAGAGGAUACCAAACAGAGAACGACCAUAGAGGG